UGUAAUCGGUCUAUCAGCGUUUUUUGAAGACUGUCACCACAAUGUUGGUGGUUUUUUGAAAAUAAAACGAAUGAUGACGGUUUUUUGAAUUAAGGUUCUCAAUUGUGGUGGUUUUUUGCAAUUUACUCGCAGUAGUUGGACCUCAAUCUGCCUCCUCCAACUGCAAUGUUGCGUGCAUUAGCAGUUCUGGAAUAAUCUAGAGUUGUAUGCCAUGCUUGCCCACGGCUCGUUCGCGGGAAGUGCAACACAUAUGGGAGGAGCCGAGCUCAUAUGGUUAGUUCAUCCUUUAAUCUUAGUGUCCGUCGAGACAUCUUGUUUUUAGAAUAAAAAAUUGGCUAGUCAAUUGUUGUGCACAAUGUAGCCCUUAGUUAUAAAAAUUUGUCUCGCAAUUCAGUCUCAAUAGAUGGUAAAGUUAGUUUGGAGCAGAGAUAUGUAAAAGUAUUUUAAUCUUUGAAGAACUAUAAGAAUGUCUAUCAGUGUUAUAAUGUUGACUGCCAUUUCCUCUUGUAACAAUAACAUGUCUAUCUGAAUUGUAAAUUCACAUAAUCUUUCUUAUAAAGUUUUCUAGAAUGUUUCUUACAUACAGUAGUUGAAAACCACACGUACAGCCUAGCGUAAGUGGGCAUUUAUAUUUAUACUGAGUCAUGUCUAUAGAUUGAGUAAUUGACAAAAUUCAUGCCAAAUGAGGGUCAACAAGGUUUGACUAACAGAAAUCCUAGUAUAACUCUCAGACAAACCGAGACCGCUGAGUACUGGAAGUUUAUGUGCUUGUUCUCACUUCGCAGCAGCUGGAACUAGAAAAGUUUGGCGGAUCAAUAGUUUUUCACGGUGUAAUAAACUGACUUACUGGCCAUUUAUGUUCUGAUGAGGUUUAUGGCGCAUCAGCUACCAGACCAAAAAUCUUUGGGGACAACUACAAUUAUGCAUUGCUUGUCUCACAUCAUUCUCUGGAUUUCGAAAUAGUAUGGGAACAUGUGAGAACUCAAUAUGUUUGAUCUGGCUUAUAUACUUAUUUUCCUGCCUUUUCAGGAUGACUGCGUUUCUCAAGUGAAAAUUAUAGUGUCUUCUUUUACUUUUAGCAAAUAUUAUGGGUAAAAUAAGAAGUUAGGACUGUUUAGAUUACUAAAAAGGAAACAAUGGCAUGGAGCGUGGCACACUGAACUCAAUACAUGUGCAGUUAUCGACUGCUACUUUCUUAGUUAGCUAUGUCGAAAUAGUUCAAGAAACAGCCUACAACGAGUGGGAAAAGGCAAAGGAGGUGAAUAUAACUCACUUAGUUGUGAGUAUGUCAUGUUUUUGUAGUUCAACAAAUGAUUUCCUUUUACAUGUUCUUAUAGGUGAAGAAACCACAAAAUCCACCAGGAGAAUUAGAUGAUGCGACAUAUAUGCAGGUUAUUUGGCAUGGCAAAAGUGUUUGCAGAUUUCUCAUAUUUAAUGUUGUACGGUGGUAAUAGAACUAACAUUGUGUGCUUCUUGAGAUCAUGUGUCUCUGGAGAUGUUCCACACACAAGUUGAGGCUAGAGUUUAAUCCAAGUACUGGGAUCUAGUUCAAACUUAGUUUGCAGUUUGAAGUUGAUAGAAUGUAGCUGACACCAUAUCACUAUUUAAAUUUCAUAUGAAAUAUGUGGUAUGAUGUACAUUCUGUCAGUAAUCUUUGUUCUGUUAGUGAUUUCUUCCCUUUUGUUUUUUCAUACACAUUGAUGGUGGAGUACAUGUUUUUAUAUGGCUUGUGGGUUGCUGGCCUAGUGGCAUCUGAAUUUUCUGUUGUACCGGUUGUGUCACAGAAAUGGAAAGCUUACUUUGGGCUAACUUGACCUGAAUCACCUAAGGUAACAGGAACAUGUUAGUACCGAAUCCUUAAAACAGGGUUGGUGUGGUGAGUGCUUAAACCAGGUUACUCAUGUGUGUGUGCCCAUCAUUUGGACACCAGGAGACCUCUCAAUAUAAGUACACAAAUGAAUUGGUUCAAUUAUUUUAAAUAGUUUAGAGUGAAGAAGAUUGGGUUGUUCUCGAAAGGCUUUUUUAGGUUCUAAUUCUUUAUUUUAUCAUGUAGGUGUUCAUGUGCGCCCACCAAUGGAUGUGUACAUGGCGCAAACUCCAUGGCUCGCGGCUCUCAAGUUUAGUUAGUUGUUAGUCUGCUGAUAAGCCACGACCAACUUAGUGGUUCGUUCUAGUACUGGGCAUUGUCAUGGUCAGUUUUGGUUCUAAUUCUGUAAUUGCGCUCAGACUGUAGCUCAUCUUGUAGUAGCUGAAUCUGACUAGCCUUGGUGGCCAUGUAAUUCAGCUGGAUCUAGUACUGGUGUCUGGUGCUAGUGUUUAGCAUGUAAAUGAUCUGAUUAUCUAUGGAAGUUUCAGUUUCGUUGUCUUAA